rnacentral:rRNA from 1 species
UACGUAGGGUGCGAGCGUUAAUCGGAAUUACUGGGCGUAAAGUGUGCGCAGGCGGCAGAGCAAGUCGAGUGUGAAAGCCCCGGGCUUAACUUGGGAAUUGCGCUCGAAACUACUUUGCUGGAGUGUGGCAGAGGAAGGUGGAAUUCCACGUGUAGCGGUGAAAUGCGUAGAGAUGUGGAGGAACACCAAUGGCGAGGGCAGCCUUCUGGGCCAACACUGACGCUCAUGCACGAAAGCGUGGGGAGCAAACAGG